rnacentral:rRNA from 1 species
AACGAACGCUGGCGGCAUGCCUAACACAUGCAAGUCGAACGGGAUCCUAGCUUGCUAGGUGAGAGUGGCGGACGGGUGAGUAACACGUGGGAAUCUGCCUUUUGGUUCGGGAUAACCGCGGGAAACUGCGGCUAAUACCGAAUGCCCUCGAGAGAGGAAAGAUUUAUCGCCAGAAGAGGAGCCCGCGUCCGAUUAGGUAGUUGGUGGGGUAAAGGCCUACCAAGCCGACGAUCGGUAGCUGGUCUGAGAGGAUGAUCAGCCACACUGGGACUGAGAUACGGCCCAGACUCUACGGAGGCAGCAGUGGGGAAUAUUGGACAAUGGGGGCAACCCUGAUCCAGCAAUG